AACGAACGCUGGCGGCGCGCCUAAUACAUGCAAGUCGAGCGAGAAGACGUAGCAAUACGUUUGUAAAGCGGCGAACGGGUGAGGAAUACAUGGGGUAACCUACCCUCGAGUGGGGAAUAACUAGCCGAAGGUUAGCUAAUACCGCGUACGCUCCUUGGACUUCGGUUCAGGGAGGAAAACGAUACCGUGGGUAUCGCGCUCUUGGAUGGGCUCAUGUCCUAUCAGCUUGUUGGUGAGGUAACGGCUCACCAAGGCUUCGACGGGUAGCUGGUCUGAGAGGACGAUCAGCCACACUGGCACUG
rnacentral:rRNA from 1 species